UGGGACAUCCAACGUGGGGGAGGGGGUGCGGGGAAGCUGAGGGCCCGGGAGUGGGAUGUGCAAGGGUGUUUGAGGAGCAAGGAUGUGCGAGGCUGCUUACAGACCCCAGUGGGCUGCAUUCUGGAAGACACCCAAUGGCUGACCCUCUCCAGGUCCCGCCUGAGCCCCUGCAAGGGUUUUGCCAGCGCCGGCUCAACAGCGGCACCUGCUGUCCGGGGCUCUCCCUGCGGGGCGGAGCUCCCCCUCCGCCCUGGGAGCCCAGCGGGACGCCGGCCGAGGGUCCUCUGUGGGCCAGCCCUGGACCAGCCCAAGUCCAGCGCAGGGGGGAAAAGAAGGAUCAUAACUUCAAGGCUCCUGGUUUGGGAAAUCCCUUGGACAGAGAAGCCUGGUGGGCUACAGUCCAUGGGGUCACAAACAGUCGGAUACAACUUAAGGACAAUAGCAUAUCUGUAAAAAGUUGAACCAGAUUUUCAACACAAGUUAAGAAUGGGACCAGUAGGUUUCCCUGGUGGC